GGGAACAAGUCAACUACAUCAUUAACAUGGACGCGUCGUACGGCAGGGCAACCCACGACGCCUUCAUAUGUAGCAAUAGCAUUAGUCAAGACUACUUCGAGCAGCGGGCAUGUGGUACCAGCGAAAUAGCGCACAUUAGGUAGAAGACUCCGGGUAUCCACUGCGGGAACACGGGACACCUUAUGAUUUCUGCAAGCGGCGCCGCAGAAGAAUCCCCGAGGCUAUAACGCCAUACAAAAGAAGGCGCGCUCCACUAUAGAGCUAACAUUUGGGAUAUUAAAAGUUACACCACCACCAUGGCCACUACUGUCUGAUCUGUGAUCCGUGCUGUGCCUAUACGCGAAGACCGUACUCCCGACG